rnacentral:rRNA from 1 species
AGUGAACGCUGGCGGUAGGCCUAACACAUGCAAGUCGAACGGCAGCACAGUAAGAGCUUGCUCUUACGGGUGGCGAGUGGCGGACGGGUGAGGAAUACAUCGGAAUCUACUUUUUCGUGGGGGAUAACGUAGGGAAACUUACGCUAAUACCGCAUACGACCUACGGGUGAAAGCAGGGGAUCUUCGGACCUUGCGCGAUUGAAUGAGCCGAUGUCGGAUUAGCUAGUUGGCGGGGUAAAGGCCCACCAAGGCGACGAUCCGUAGCUGGUCUGAGAGGAUGAUCAGCCACACUAGAACUGAGACACGGUCCAGACUCCUACGGGAAGCAGCAGUGGGGAAAAUUGGACAAUGGGCGCAAGCCUGAUCCAGCCAUACCGCGUGGGUGAAGAAGGCCUGCGGGUUGUAAAGCCCUUUUGUUGGGAAAAAAAAGCAGCAGGUGAAUACCCCGCUGUUCUGACGGUACCCAAAGAAUAAGCACCGGCUAACUUCGUG